ensembl:snRNA U6 U6 spliceosomal RNA
UGCCUCAAAAGCCCAUAUACUAAAAUUUUAACAUUACAGAGAAGAUUUUCAUGGACCUUGUGUAAGGAUUACAGGUAGAUUAUGAAGCAUUCUAUAUUUCU